GUGCUCACUUUAGCAGCACAUAUACUAAAUACUGGAAUGAUGCAGAGAAGAUUAGCAUGGCCCCUGCAGAAGGAUGACAUGCAGGCUCAUGAAUGUUCCAUAUUUUUU